GGGUUUGGGUUUGGGAUUUGGGGUCUAAAGAAGAGAGAGAGUGAGGGUUUUGAAGAGUUUUUGCAAAAGAAAGAGAGGAGGGUUUGGGAUUUGGCGUCUGAUGCAGAGAGAGGGUAGGGGUUUGAAGAGUUUUUGCAGAGACCUGAGAGAGAGAGAGAAAGAGGGAGAGAGAGUCG